rnacentral:rRNA from 1 species
CGGAGGAAAAGAAACCAACAGGGAUUGCCUCAGUAACGGCGAGUGAAGCGGCAAGAGCUCAAAUUUGAAAUCUGGCUCCUUCGGGGCCCGAGUUGUAAUUUGUAGAAGAUGCUUCGGGUGUGGCUCCGGUCUAAGUUCCUUGGAACAGGACGUCAUAGAGGGUGAGAAUCCCGUAUGUGACUGGAUGCCUACGCCCGUGUGAAGCUCUUUCGACGAGUCGAGUUGUUUGGGAAUGCAGCUCAAAAUGGGUGGUAAAUUUCAUCUAAAGCUAAAUACUGGCCAGAGACCGAUAGCGCACAAGUAGAGUGAUCGAAAGAUGAAAAGCACUUUGGAAAGAGAGUUAAACAGUACGUGAAAUUGUUGAAAGGGAAGCGCUUGCAAUCAGACUUGCGCCCGGGCGAUCAUCUGGGGUUCUCCCCAAGGCACUCGUCCGGGCUCAGGCCAGCAUCAGUUCUCGUGGUGGGAUAAAGGUCCUGGGAAUGUGGCCCCUCUCGGGGGGUGUUAUAGCCCAGGGCGCCAUGCCGCCUACGGGGACUGAGGACCGCGCUUCGGCUAGGAUGCUGGCGUAAUGGUUGUAAGCGACCCGUCUUGAAACACGG